GAGUGGGAAAGGCUGUUUUCGCCCUCCACAGAUGCCUAGAGAGGAUCUGGAGCCAGGUUGGCCUUGUGCUGUACAGAUGGCAGUGGAACUUCCCAUGGAAGAAGAGCUGGAGAAAUGUUUAGGAUCCCAUCCAUUGCUCUUGCCAGAUGUUUGGAUGUGAAUCUCUUAGAAGAAUAUUCGAGCAAACCUUCAAAAUCAGCUCCUCUUUGACCUGAAAGGAGGAAAACCAAUUUUAUUAGUUGUCUCAUUGCCUCAUCAAUUCUAAUGAAUAAAAUCUUGGCAUAAGGCCAUAAAAAAAGUAUGAAACCUAAA